rnacentral:tRNA from 1 species
GAGGCAUAGCUCAGCUGGUCAGAGCGCCUGCUUCACACGCAGGAGGUCACAGGUUCGAGCCCCGUUGUCUCC